CUUAGUUGCCUUUAUAAGCUGCCAAUCAAUACUUUCAACUUACAGUUCAAUAUACACCCUCUCCCGGCAAGUACUAAAGGAAACCACAAGAAUGAUAUAUUCUGGAUCCAUCAUUGUCUUCUUAAACCUCCUGAUUCUCCUUCUUAAUGUUGCGGGAUUAUUUGCACACGUACCUCCAACUUGUGGAACUACUUCGGGACAAACCUGUCCUUUUCCAUUUAAGUUUAAGGGAAGAACGUACACCCAUUGUACCACAAAAGAUUCAGAAAGUGGAAGGCCAUGGUGUGCAACCUAUCUUACUUCUGAUGGACAAGUGGUGCCGAACUACUGGGGAGACUGUAACUCUGCUUGUGCUAUUUACUCAUAGGCUGCAGGCUAUGUAUAUUCUACAGUUGUUCCGUCACAGCAGGCUAUGUUUCUACAGCAGAUUUUAGACUUGCAAAGGAAUUACUUUAAACAUAAAAAUUAAAAUUUAUGAAUUUAAUAUAUUUUUGAAGAUUU